UCGACUGAAUACAUAGGUCUCGUAGUAGCAGCAUAUCGGCUCACUCCCGCUUAGCUAUGCUUGACAUGACGGGUCAGCGAACGAGAUGAUCGCGCAACCCUGCUACUGAAUACUCGACCAGACUCCAUCGGGAGUCAUGCAGUAUGGAUACUAGUCAUGCACGCCAGUCCGAUCCAGGCAUGACGCUUCAGAUGACGACCUAUGGGUUGUGAACUGAAUUUAUAUGGGAGAUACCCCGUGAUGCGUUAGGGGCUGACGUAUCCAGUAUGAGUAAGGAUCGGCUAACGUCGUGCAGCAGCCGCGGUAAGACGAAGGAUACUAGCAUUGUCCGGAUUUACUGCGUUUAAAGGGUGUGUAGGCGGGAGAUUAAGUCAGUGGUGAAAGCCCUCAGCUCAACUGAGGAACUGCCAUAGAAAGUGUUUUCUGAAUAUGGUUGAGGUAGAUGGAAUAUAACAUGUAGCGGUGAAAUGCUUAGAUAUGUUAUAGAACACCGAUUGCCAAGGCAGUCUGCUAAGCCAUUAUUGACGCUGAGGCACGAAAGCGUGGGGAGCAAACAGGAUUAGAUACCCUGGUAGUCCACACCCUAAACGUUGAUUACUCGCUGUUGGCGAUACACUGUCAGCGGCUAAGCGAAAGCGUUAAGUAAUCCACCUGGGAAGUACGUCCGCAAGGAUGAAACUCAAAGGAAUUGACGGGGGCCCGCACAAGCGGAGGAGCAUGUGGUUUAAUUCGAUGAUACGCGAGAAACCUUACCUAGGUUUAAAUGUCAGGUGACGAAUGCCGAAAGGUGUUUUCCCUUCGGGGCAACUGGCAAGGUGCUGCAUGGUUGUCGUCAGUUCGUGCCGUGAGGUGUUGGUUUAAGUCCCGCAACGAGCGCAACCCCCAUCUUUAGUUGUUAACAGGUAAUGCUGAGGACUCUGAAGAAACCGCCUACGCAAGUAGUGAGGAAGGCGGGGAGGACGUCAAGUCAUCAUGGCCCUUACGCCUAGGGUUACACACGUGCUACAAUGGAUGGUACAAUGAGAUGCCAGCUGGUAACAUUGCGCAAACCUCAAAAGCCAUUCUCAGUUCGGAUUGAGGUCUGCAACUCGACCUCAGGAAGCUGGAUUCGCUAGUAAUCGUAUAUCAGCAUUGAUACGGUGAAUACGUUCCCGGGCCUUGUACACACCGCCCGUCAAGCCAUGUAAGCCGGGAGAACCUGAAGUCGAUAACCGCAAGGAGUCGCCUAGGGUUAUAUUAGUAACUGGGGCUAAGUCGUAACAAGGUAACCA
rnacentral:rRNA from 1 species